rnacentral:rRNA from 1 species
GACGAACGCUGGCGGCGCGCUUAACACAUGCAAGUCGAACGGAAAGGCCUGCUUUCCCUUGUGGAUUGCGGGUACUCGAGUGGCGAACGGGUGAGUAACACGUGAGUGAUCUGCCCCCAACUUGGGUAUAAGCCUGGGAAACUGGGUCUAAUUCCCGAUAGGACUGCAGGGUGGUGCCUGUGGUGGAAAACGAUUUUCUAGUGGUUGGGGAUGAGCUCGCGGCCUAUCAGCUUGUUGGUGGGGUAAUGGCCUACCAAGGCGGCGACGGGUAGCCGGCCUGGGAGGGUGGACGGCCGCAUUGGGACUGGGAUACGGCCCAGACUGGUACGGGCGGCAGCAGAGGGGAAUAUUGCGCAAUGGGCGGAAGCCUGAUGCAGCGACGCCGCGUGGGGGAUGACGGCCUUCGGGUGGUAAACUCCUUUCGACCGCGAGGAAGCCACCUGGUUGGAAGGGUGGUGACGGUAGUGGUAGAAGAAGCACCGGCUAACUACGUG